GUCAUUGUCACGAGUGCAUCUAGAUUUUCAUUCGGUAGAUUGGACUACCUGGCUCUCACAAAUAACAGGGAAUUAGGGUUCGAUUCUGGAGAAGGAGCCUGAGAAACGGCUACUACAUCUACGGAAGGCAGCAGGCGCGUAAAUUACCCAAUCCUGACUCAGGGAGGUGGUGACAAGAUAUAACAACGCGGUUAUUAUCGCGAUUUGUAGUGAGGGUAUUCUAAACAGAACCUAUAGUACGAUUAGAGGGCAAGUCUGGUGCCAGCAGCCGCGGCCAAAACAAGCUCAAAUAGCGUAUAUUAAAGUUGCUGCAGUUAAAAAGCUCGUAGUUGGAUUUCACGGAUUGUAAACCCCUCCGGGGAAUACAUCCUACUAGUCUUCGGACUGUUACUGUGAGAAAAUUAGAGUGUUUCAAGCACGCUUUCGCAAGAAUACAUUAGCAUGGAAUAACGAAUGUAUUUAGAAUCUUGGUUAAUUCUAAAUUACGAUUAAUAGAGACAGUUGGGGGCAUUAGUAUUUAAUUGUCAGAGUGAAAUUCUUGGAUUUGUUAAAGACUAACGUAUGCGAAAGCAUUUGCCAGAUGUUUCAUUAAUCAGAUGAAGAUAGGGAUCAAGAAAAUCAGAUACUGUCGUAGUCUAUCUAUACUAUGCGACUAGAUGAUGGGCUCACACCAUUUCAGUACUAGAAAUCAGUUUGUCGGGGGAUAGUCAGCUGAAUAAAAAUGCGAAGGCCACCGGGAGGGACCGGCUAUAUUAUCACACAGGG
rnacentral:rRNA from 1 species